UUGGAGGAAGCUCUACCGACAAUGGCUUGGGCUUCAAAUCCCACUUAGAGUAUGUCAACCAAGCUGCAUUGCCUUGGAGAGCUCUCGGAGGUGUCAAAAAACGAGGCCAGGAGUCAAAAUGGACAAACAAUAAGCUACCUAAGUGGAGGGUGUGAAGAGGCCCAUGUUGAUAAAGACACAAGAUCUAGUUUCAAUCCUGUCCUCGAGCUAGGUUUCCAGCUAUCCUAGUGAGAGAGAGAGAGAGAGAGAAAAGCAGCAGCUGUAGCAACGAGAAGUUCAUAUUUAUUAUAUUUUUCUCCACGUUCUUUUACAUGAUACUCUUUUAUUUGAUAUAUUGUUUGAAGUUGCAUGAGCCGUUGUCCAACUACAAGAUGGUCGCAAGGGAAUCUGCUUGGACAAUAGGGACAUAUCCACAAACCUAGUCUUAUGAUUAACUUCACCAUCAUGCAAACUCGUAGGUAUACCAAACAGCCAAUCGCUUAUAAAUAAUCUCAAUAAAAUCAAAAAGCUUUAUUAUCCAUAUCUCACUAACCUUACCAGUGCUGUUCCUUUUUUUAAAGCAAAUAACAAUGCUGAUUUCCGAGAAAAUUGUCAAUUUAUUGCUGCAGGACAUCUAUACAUAUAUAGUAAUGAUAUGCUACUCGGUUGCAAUAUGAUAUUAAAACUGUUGCAUGAGAAUGCAAUCAUAGUAGGAGAUAAAAGCCGUAUGAAUUCAACUUUUUGAUACACAAUGUGGCUAUAAUUUGUAAACAAAUAUCACAUGCACAAAAAAAAAAAAAAACUAAUU